UAACCUGCAGGUUUGUGUGUGCUGUG
rnacentral:piRNA from 1 species